UACGGGGGGGGGCAAGCGUUGUUCGGAAUUACUGGGCGUAAAGGGCUCGUAGGCGGCCAACUAAGUCAUACGUGAAAUCCCUCGGCUUAACCGGGGAACUGCGUCUGAUACUGGAUGGCUUGAGUUCGGGAGAGGGAUGCGGAAUUCCAGGUGUAGCGGUGAAAUGCGUAGAUAUCUGGAGGAACACCGGGUGGCGAAGGCGGCAUCCUGGACCGAUACUGACGCUGAGGAGCG
rnacentral:rRNA from 1 species